rnacentral:tRNA from 7 species
GGGCUUGUAGCUCAGGUGGUUAGAGCGCUACACUGAUAAUGUAGAGGUCCGUGGUUCGAGUCCACGCAGGCCCACUA